GACGAACGCUGGCGGCGUGCUUAACACAUGCAAGUCGAACGGUAAGGCCCUUCGGGGUACACGAGUGGCGAACGGGGGAGUAACACGUGGGUGAUCUGCCCUGCACUUCGGGAUAAGCCUGGGAAACUGGGUCUAAUACCGGACAGGACUCCUGGCUUCCUGGUUGGGGGGGGAAAGCUUUUGCGGUGUGGGAUGGGCCCGCGGCCUAUCAGUUUGUUGGUGGGGUAAUGGCCUAGCAAGGCGCCGACGGGUAGCCGGCCUGAGAGGGUGACCGGUCACACUGGGACUGAGAUACGGGCCAGACUCCUACGGGAGGCAGCAGUGGGGAAUAUUGCACAAUGGGCGCAAGCCUGAUGCAGCGACGCCGCGUGAGGGAUGACGGCCUUCGGGUUGUAAACCUCUUUCAGCUAUGACGAAGCGCAAGUGACGGUAGUAGCAGAAGAAGGACCGGCCAACUACGUGCCAGCCGCCGCAGUAA
rnacentral:rRNA from 1 species